UGCUCUCUGCUCUCACUGUCAUC
rnacentral:miRNA from 1 species